CCCCUAGUAACUGCGAGUGAAGCGGGAAAAGCUCAAAUUUAAAAUCUGGCGGUCUUUGGCCGUCCGAGUUGUAGUCUGGAGAAGUGCUUUCCGCGCUGGGCCGUGUAUAAGUCUCUUGGAACAGAGCGUCAUAGAGGGUGAGAAUCCCGUCUUUGACACGGACUACCAGUGCUUUGUGAUGCGCUCUCAAAGAGUCGAGUUGUUUGGGAAUGCAGCUCAAAAUGGGUGGUGAAUUCCAUCUAAAGCUAAAUAUUGGCGAGAGACCGAUAGCGAACAAGUACCGUGAGGGAAAGAUGAAAAGCACUUUGGAAAGAGAGUUAAACAGUACGUGAAAUUGCUGAAAGGGAAACGCUUGAAGUCAGUCGCGUUGUCUGGGACUCAGCCUUGCUUUUGCUUGGUGCACUUUCCGGAUGACGGGCCAGCAUCGAUUUUGACCGUCGGAAAAGGGCUAGGGUAAUGUGGCACCUCCGGGUGUGUUAUAGACUCUAGUCGCAUACGGCGGUUGGGAUCGAGGAACGCAGCGCGCCGUAAGGCAGGGGUUCGCCCACUUUCGCGCUUAGGAUGCUGGCGUAAUGGCUUUAAACGACCCGUCUUGAAACACGGACCAAGGAGUCUAACAUACCUGCGAGUGUUUGGGUGGAAAACCCGAGCGCGUAAUGAAAGUGAAAGUUGAGACCUCUGUCGUGGAGGGCAUCGACGCCCGGACCUGACGUUCUCUGACGGAUCCGCGGUAGAGCAUGUAUGUUGGGACCCGAAAGAUGGUGAACUAUGCCUGAAUAGGGUGAAGCCAGAGGAAACUCUGGUGGAGGCUCGUAGCGAUUCUGACGUGCAAAUCGAUCGUCAAAUUUGGGUAUAGGGGCGAAAGACUAAUCGAA
rnacentral:rRNA from 1 species